AGAGCGAACGCUGGCGGCAGGCCUAACACAUGCAAGUCGAGCGCCCGUAGCAAUACGGGAGCGGCAGACGGGAUAGUAACACGUGGGAACGCGCCCUUCGGUUCGGAAUAACUCAGGGAAACUUGAGCUAAUACCGGAUACGCCCUUACGGGGAAAGAUUUAUUGCCGAAGGAACGGCCCGCGUCCGAUUAGCUAGUUGGUGAGGUAAUGGCUCACCAAGGCGACGAUCGGUAGCUGGUCUGAGAGGAUGACCAGCAUCACUGGGACUGAGACACGGCCCAGACUCCUACGGAAGGCAGCAGUGGGGAAUAUUGGACAAUGGGCGCAAGCCUGAUCCAGCCAUGCCGCGUGGAUGAUGAAGGCCUUAGGGUUGUAAAGUCCUUUUAACGGGGAAGAUAAUGACGGUACCCGUAGAAUAAGCCCCGGCUAACUUCGCGCCAGCAGCCGC
rnacentral:rRNA from 1 species